rnacentral:rRNA from 1 species
AAAGACCCUAUGAAGCUUUACUGUAACUUGAAAUUGAAAUUGGACUUUAUUUGCGCAGUAUAGGUGGGAGGCUGUGAAAAGAAUCUUGCGGGAUUUUUGGAGCCAUCAGUGAGAUACCACUCUUGUAAUGUUAGAUUUCUAACUUUGUAUCAUUAUCUGGUCAAAGAACAGUUUCAGGCGGGCAGUUUGACUGGGGCGGUCGCCUCCUAAACGGUAACGGAGGCGCACAAAGGUUUCCUCUGAACGGGUAGAAAUCGUAUCUAGAGUGUAAAGGCAUAAGGAAGCUUGACUGUGAGACCUACAAGUCGAGCAGGGACGAAAGUCGGUCUUAGUGAUCUGACGGUGCUGAGUGGAAAGGCCGUCACUCAACGGAUAAAAGUUACUCUAGGGAUAACAGGCUGA